CCUACUCAGUGCAGAAGUCACACUCUUGUGGGAGGUGUGCGGGGCCAAGUGUGAGAGCGUGUGUGUGUGUGUGUGUGUGUGUGUGUGUGUGUGUGGAGUGCAAUCCGAGUGAGUGCAUCUGCCCCCGUGCCCCUCCCCCACCCCCUACACGUGGAUCUUAUUUGAUCUGGUCAGGUUGUGAUCCCCUCAGGCCGCCAAGAAGUGUAAAGCAGCCUUCCUGCUAAGCCCCUCUGGGAGCUGUGCAGUGAGGCCCCAAAAAAUAAAGAAAAAAACAAGCAACCUCAGGCUGGAGAGAUGGCUCAGUGGUUAAAGGCACUUACUUGUUUCUGAGCCUGACA